rnacentral:rRNA from 1 species
UACAGAGGGUACGAGCGUUAAUCGGAAUUACUGGGCGUAAAGCGCGCGUAGACGGUUUUGUAAGUCAGGUGUGAAAUCCCUGGGCUCAACCUGGGAACUGCAUUUGAGACUGCAUGGCUAGAGUAUGGAAGAGGGAAGUGGAAUUUCCGGUGUAGCGGUGAAAUGCGUAGAUAUCGGAAGGAACACCAGUGGCGAAAGCGACUUCCUGGUCCAAUACUGACGUUCAUGUGCGAAAGCGUGGGGGGAGCAAACAGGAUUAGAUACCCUGGUAGUCCACGCCAUAAACGAUGACAACUAGAUGUUGGGGGGGUCUGCCUCCCGGUGUCGCAGCUAACGCGUUAAGUUGUCCGCCUGGGGAGUACGGCCGCAAGGUUGAAACUC